UACGUAGGGUGCGAGCGUUGUCCGGAAUUAUUGGGCGUAAAGAGCUCGUAGGCGGUCUGUCGCGUCGAUCGUGAAAACUUGGGGCUUAACCCUGAGCUUGCGGUCGAUACGGGCAUGACUGGAGUUCAGCAGGGGAGACUGGAAUUCCUGGUGUAGCGGUGAAAUGCGCAGAUAUCAGGAGGAACACCGGUGGCGAAGGCGGGUCUCUGGGCCGAUACUGACGCUGAGGAGCGAAAGCGUGGGGAGCAAACAGG
rnacentral:rRNA from 1 species